rnacentral:rRNA from 1 species
UACGUAGGGCGCAAGCGUUAUCCGGAAUUAUUGGGCGUAAAGAGCUCGUAGGCGGUUUGUCGCGUCUGCCGUGAAAGUCCGGGGCUCAACUCCGGAUCUGCGGUGGGUACGGGCAGACUAGAGUGAUGUAGGGGAGACUGGAAUUCCUGGUGUAGCGGUGAAAUGCGCAGAUAUCAGGAGGAACACCGGUGGCGAAGGCAGCUCUCUGGGUCCCUACCGACGCUGGGGUGCGAAAGCAUGGGGAGCGAACAGG